rnacentral:lncRNA from 1 species
CUGGUUUCUGGGACCAGUGACUCGGUCACCUGGGCCUCUGUCCUUCUGCAGGUAAGACCUUGCCUCUACCUUCUGGGAGGGAACCUGAACUCUCUCGGCCCUCGGCAGUCCAGGAAGUCUGCCGCUUCCUUAUUCGAGAUGUCUUAUUAAACUGUAAUCAGACUGCGAGAGGAGCCAGUCAAAGCAGUGGCUAUUAAUAGGGAGGCGAGGAAAGCUGACUAAGGAGGGAGCGGACUUAGACUGGAGGGAAGAGCCUGGCCACCUUGGCCCACAGUCCUCGGACACAGGGUCGACGUCUUGGAGGCGAAGGCAUUCUGGCGCAGCGAAGAAACAAUACAGGUUGUCCUUGGGCCCAGCGGCUGAUCCUUGACCACCUGGUCAGUAUAGAAACCGGGGUGGCAUCUCCAUGGUUCUGUUAUCUGGGGCUUGGCUGUAAACACCAGGCCCCAGGAUAAUUCCUGGGCUGAGGCUGAUUUAAAGAAGAUCUAGGUGGAAUCAGGAAGGAGAGUCUUAGACUGAGCAGCUGAGGGUUCCGGGAGCUUGUGUACCUCCGGCUCCCUCUUGCUCGACCUCUUGCCUUAGCAAGCACUUCCUCCCAGGCUGCUGCCGUUGGAGGGUUUCUUGCCCCAAGCCCACCAGAUAAGGAACUGAGAAGAGAUAGAAAAAAACAAAAUCCACUCGAGGCUGCCCGGAUGACGGAAUGUCUCUAAAAAUAUAUGCCUCCUAGUUCUCAAGUGAUUGGCAGCCCUGCGGUCUUCAGCAUUGGAAAGUGUCAUUUAGAGGGUUGGCUCCCUCCGAAGCUGAGAAACUCACCAAGGCUUUGAGUUAUGUCUCCAGUUGGCUUGGGUGUGGUGGGUGGGAAGUUCAGCUUCCCAAAAGACCAUCGUUGGUAUUAUUGAUGAGGGAG